UAGCUUUUGGGGCAUUAUUUACAGUUGGACUUGGAUCUGCAUUUGACUGAACAAAAUCUUUUGGGCCAGGAACUCCUGAAGUUUGAGCUGAGUUUUGAUUGCCAAUUAACACAUCAUAUCCACUAAUAAUAGUGCCAGAAGAAUUUGCAUCCAAUUCAUCAUGAAAGCCUCCAAAAGAUAUGGUAUUACUCUCACCUUUAUUAUAGUUGUUACCCAUGGAUAGAAUAUUGGGAUCUUCUUUAUCUUGGGCAGAACAGAUGGAAGUCAUGUUGGAAUCUGCCUUGUCAUAGCUGGCACCAAUAGAUGUGAU
rnacentral:misc_RNA from 1 species